AAGAACCAGAAAGGAAACAAUAUAUAAUGAUUUCUGCCUAUGUAGCUGCGGGUCAGAUUCAUAACAACACAGGAGCGUUACAACAACAACAAUCACAUCUUGGUCAAAUGUCAAAGCAAACUACAAUGAAAGAAUAACUGCACUCAGUGGAGUGAUCUCCAUACAAACAGAACAUUAUUUUAAAUAUAAUAACCUCUGGAAGAUAAAUUACAGUGCAAUCUUAUGUAACCCAUGGGGAUUUUUUGUUUAUAAAAGUCUCAGUUCAAUGUGCAUGGUUGUAAGGGGAAAGGCCUACUGCAUCUAUAUAAAUAACUAUUCAACAAGGAUUAACCACAAAGCAGAGCAUAGAAGUCAUAAUGUAACAAUAUGAACUUGUCAUGCCCCAGUACUUCCUUUGACCAAAUAAAAAGCCAUAUAUUUCACAUGCAAA